GCCUCUAUAGCUUAAAUUUUAAAGCACAACCCUGAAGAAGUUGAAAUGACCCUCGUCUAGAAGCA
rnacentral:tRNA from 1 species